CCUACGGGUGGCAGCAGUGGGGAAUAUUGAACAAUGGGCGAAAGCCUGAUCCAGCCAUGCCGCGUGUGUGAAGAAGGCCUUCGGGUUGUAAAGCACUUUCAGUGGGGAAGAAAGCCUUGGGGCUAAUACCCUCGAGGAAGGACAUCACCCACAGAAGAAGCACCGGCUAACUCCGUGCCAGCAGCCGCGGUAAUACGGAGGGUGCGAGCGUUAAUCGGAAUUACUGGGCGUAAAGCGCGCGUAGGCGGUCUGAUAAGCCGGUUGUGAAAGCCCCGGGCUCAACCUGGGAACGGCAUCCGGAACUGUCAGGCUAGAGUGCAGGAGAGGAAGGUAGAAUUCCCGGUGUAGCGGUGAAAUGCGUAGAGAUCGGGAGGAAUACCAGUGGCGAAGGCGGCCUUCUGGACUGACACUGACGCUGAGGUGCGAAAGCGUGGGUAGCAAACAGGAUUAGAUACCCGAGUAGUC
rnacentral:rRNA from 1 species